UACGUAGGUGGCAAGCGUUGUCCGGAAUUAUUGGGCGUAAAGCGCGCGCAGGCGGCCUUUUAAGUCUGAUGUGAAAAGCCCACGGCUCAACCGUGGAAGGUCAUUGGAAACUGAAAGGCUUGAGUACAGAAGAGGAAAGCGGAAUUCCACGUGUAGCGGUGAAAAUGCGUAGAGAUGUGGAGGAACACCAGUGGCGAAGGCGGCUUUCUGGUCUGUAACUGACGCUGAGGCGCGAAAGCGUGGGGGAGCAAACAGG
rnacentral:rRNA from 1 species